ensembl:lncRNA
UUUUCAUCAUUUCUAAAUAUUUUUAUCAUUAGAUUGUUUGUGUGAUUCACACAUGAAAAUGAUCCUUAUUUAUAUUAUGCUGGGCAGUGCAGUGAUACAGCACUUCUGUCUGUCCACUGUCUGAAACUGGAAGUUUUAGCAUGGCAUAGAUUAAAUGGGUAGAAAAAAAAAACUGAAAUCAUUUGUUUAGUGAAAUGUGAAGAAUACAUUUUUGAAUCACGGGGAUUACUGACUAUUUAAAGCUUUAGCCAUGUUUAAUAUGAGCCUCCAUCAGUGUAUAUGUAGACUUAUGUACCAUAAUAAUACAGGACAUGAGAAGAAGGACAACAGAUCCUCUCUAAGGAUACAGGAAGACCUGCAGUGUUAAAAACGAAAGUCUCCUCUGCUACAAAAAAAAGCCCUUGAGAUGUGUGCUUUGGUUCUGCUGAGGGACAGUGGGAAUCCUGGCAACAAUAAGGACAGCUGUACAAACAUUUGCCUGUCUCACCAGCAAGCCCUUUGUCAAGAUCCUAAAUAAACCUGGAAACAUUAUAGAAAUCAGGCUUCCUUGAAGGGAUGUGUCACCUGGCCUGCAUGCGCAGGCUCUACAAGCUUUGUAGAGCCUGAAGGGCUUGCUGGUGCAGUACGAUGAAAAGCUAGCUCUUCUCGGCCUCUGGACUCCAAAUGUUCAAGCUUCACGCAGAUGUGUUCCCAAAGUACUUGCAUCCAAUGUUUCAAGAGCAAGAUAAGAUGCCAACCUGUCCCAGUCUUUCACACAUUUUGCAAAACAGUUUUGCAUGAUACUCCAUGAGCCUGUGACAAUAAAAAGGGGGAGAAAAGUGUACCCCAACAGAAAGUGAUCAGUGCUUUCCUUCUUCCUUCCAUUCUACCUGUAUUUGGUUUGUAGGUGCAAUGCAGAAUUGAUCCACGGGGAGGCAGUGUUUCCUCAUGAUUCAAAUAUGCUCUUCUGCAUACAGUUGAAAAACAUUGGUUUGUAAUGUUUUUUAACCUGUGCAGAAUAUGACUACAGCACACACACACAUAUUUUAAAAUAUUCACAGUGUGUGUUUAAGCUC